GAAUUUUAACAUCACAGAUCUACGAACAAUAUGGUACAAGACUGAGCUUUUAAGUUUCAUCAACAUAUAUACAUAUAAACAUGUACAUAUUUUUUUCUGUUCACGUCGAGGCAACCAUUUGGGUAAAUGUCAGAACAAUCAUUAACUGCGAAAAAGCAAUUCUGGCAUUUCUGUGUAAUUCGUCAGCUAAGCAAAUUUCUUCGAAAAAUUAAGUAAAUCGGCCAUGAACAGAUGCCCCCACUGCUCUGGUACUGGUUACCAGCCUAAACGCCCCAAGAGUGCUGUACGCAAGCGCCCGCAAUUUCACCUGAAUUCUUAUAUAUAUGUGGACGCCAAUGAUGAAACCAAUUCUGUGGAAGCCGAAGCAGAUGGCAAUAAAAACAGAUAGUCCAUCCAAAUGCCAACAGGCCUGAGUGCAUUUGUCAUCGUCCAAAGCACGGCUAUGUAUGCGACCGAUGUCAUCAAUAUUUCCAUGGACGUUUGGCUGAAAUUUGUCCACGUCACAAAUCUGAAAUAUAUUUAAUGGACUUUCAGCGUUGCCCAUAUUGCGCGGCUCCAAACAGCAUGAUUCAAAUUGCCAAAUUUACUUCGAAGGAAAUCUGUAAAUUUGAAAAUGCUGAACUACCCGGCGGAGAUGAAGGCUUGUAGAAUCCCCCCUUGAAAUGUAAUACCUGUCUGUGCUACACCCAAAUUCAGUUUUCUCAUUCUGUGAUUUAUGCAAAAUGAUGUGAAAAGAAAUCGUAUAUAAAUAUUAUCCUUUUUUGAAGCUUCGAUACACUAGAAA